rnacentral:rRNA from 1 species
CGUGUACGUGCGGUGCCGCGACACCGGUACGACGGAGGUGGCUAGCUUUGUGCGGAAUUCCUCGGCGUAAAGCUCGUGUAGGCGGGUGCCAAAGUCGGGUGUGAAAGCCUUGAGCUCAACUCAAGAAAUGCACUCGAUACUUUGUGACUAGAGGACCGGAGAGGAUAGUGGAAUUCCCAGUGUAGUGGUGAAAUACGUAGAGAUUGGGAAGAACACCAGUGGCGAAGGCGGCUAUCUGGACGGUUUCUGACGCUAAGACGCGAAAGCGUGGGGAGCAAACAGGAUUAGAUACCCCGGAGUC